rnacentral:rRNA from 1 species
GACGAACGCUGGCGGCGUGCUUAACACAUGCAAGUCGAACGAAGUGGCGAACGGGUGAGUAACGCGUAAUCAACCUGCCCUUCAGAGGGUGAUAACAGUUGGCAACGACUGCUACUACCUCAUACUUCAGGAGGUGAUUGCGUCUGAUUAGCUAGUUGGAGGGGUAACGGCCCACAAAGGCGAUGAUCAGUAGCCGGUCUGAGAGGAGGAACGGCCACAGUGGGACGGAGACACGGCCCAGACUCCUACGGGAGGCAGCAGGGGGGAAUCUUCCGCAAGGGACGAAAGUCUGACGGAGCAACGACGCGUGAGUGAUGACGGCCUUCGGGUUGUAAAGCUCUGUUAAUCGGGACGCGGUACCGGAAUAGAAAGCCACGGCUAACUACGUGCCAGCAGCCGCGGUAAUUC